GUGCAGCAGUCGCGAAACCUCUGCAAUAGGCGAAAGCUCGACAGGGUUACUCUGAGUGAUUUCCGUUAAGGAGAUCUUUUGGCACCUCUAAAAAUGGUGCAGAAUAAGGGGUGGGCAAGUCUGGUGUCAGCCGCCGCGGUAAUACCAGCACCCCGAGUGGUCGGGACGAUUAUUGGGCCUAAAGCAUCCGUAGCCGGUUCUACAAGUCUUCCGUUAAAUCCACCUGCUCAACAGAUGGGCUGCGGAAGAUACUAUGGAGCUAGGAGGCGGGAGAGGCAAGCGGUACUCAGUGGGUAGGGGUAAAAUCCGUUGAUCCAUUGAAGACCA
rnacentral:rRNA from 1 species